CAUUGAUGAAGCCAUUAGCAUCAUUAUGUCCUCCCCGUCUCCUGUCUAUCUCUCUAAACUCGAUGUGAAGAGCGCUUUUCGUCAAAUACCUGUCCGCCCACAGGAUUGGCAUCUCCUAGGCAUCCUGUGGCAGGGUAAGUACUACUACGACCGUGUCUUGCCAUUUGGGCUUCGCUCUAGCCCAGCGGUAUUUGAUGCAGUGGCAGCCACCAUCGAAUGGAUAAUGCACCACGAAUUCUCCAUCCCUAAAUUGCUGCAUUUCCUGGACGACUACUUGUGCGUGAGCGUGGGCCAGGCAGUGGCGAAUCGGCAGCUGGCCAUUCUUCUCCGUGCAUUCUCAUACCUCGGAGUCCCGCUCGCGCCUGCGAAGGUGGAAGGCCCGUCUCGUACCCUGACAUUCCUGGGCAUUAUCCUGGAUUGUGAGAAGAUGGAAGCCCGGCUCCCUGACGACAAAUUGGCUGACAUCAAGCGCCUGUUGACUGCAGCGAGCAUCAACCCUACCAUGUCUCCCUCGAACUCGAAUCUCUUCUGGGGAAACUCUCCUUCGCUGCAAGAGUCAUCGUACCCGGUCGGACAUUUAUGCGGCGCCUGUGGUCUAUUUGCAGUCGCUACCAGCAGCCUCACUACCGCAUCAGUCUGACUACCGAGUGCCAGGAAGAUAUCCAAUGGUGGCUACGGCUCCUGGAAGAAUGGAACGGAAAAUCAUUCUUCCUGUUCCCAGAUUGGACACCAUCUCCAGACUUGGAGCUGUUCACUGAUGCCAGUGGCACCCUGGGCUGGGGCGCAUUCAACAGCGGCCGCUGGCUUCAAGGGACCUGGUCGUCUGAGCAACUCGCUCACAGCAUUGAGUGGAAGGAGCUCUACGCGUUGGUCACAGCGUGCUGCACGUGGGGCAAGGAAUGGCGCCAGCUUCGUAUCACAAUGCACUGUGACAACAAGGCUGUGGUAGAUUGCAUCCGCUCCGGCACAUCCAAGUCACCGCCAGUGAUGACCCUGAUCAGGGAGCUGUUCUUUGUGUGCGCCCGCUUCAAUUUCACCGUCGCUGCUGCUCACAUUGCUGGCCAGUCUAACUGCAUUGCCGAUUCGCUGUCUCGUUUCCGCAUGGAGGAAUUUCGGCGUCUCGCCCCAGCUGCUCAAGCACAACCAGACCAAGCAGUGCUGCCAUUCCAGUCGAUGCAAUAUAGCCUUGACAUACAGACUUGGUGUACGGUUGGCUCAUCUCAUAGUCUAACUGACAUACUUCGAUCAGUGCUUUCAAAGAGAACAUCUCCUCUCGCAGAUAGAGUCCUUCUAGACCAGAGACUUGACGUUCGGUUGGCUCAUCUCAUAGUCUAGCUGACAUAAUCAGUGCUUUGAGAGAGAACAUCUCCUCUCGCAGAUAGAGUCCUCCUAAACCUGAGCUUGCCUGUGCAAAUCGUCUCGUCUACCAUUCCAAGUGAUGAACAUGGCUUCAUUGCGUAUUUUGCACCGUCUUUGCAAGUCACAAUUACACUUACCGUGGUGUGACAGAAUACUACGGUUGUACACAUCCAGUUGCAGCUCAAGCCAGAAAGCAGCCAGCAUUCUGCUGGCGUACGUGAGCAACGGUUGCUGUUGGAAUUGUCCAUUGCAGAGAACAGCUUUACUGACCUGCCAUAUAUCACGUGAUCCAGUCCAUGCAGCCGGUAGACCUGUAUUGAUGGAUGCAGCAGCUGUCCUGCAUUGUGACUAUAGACCUUUGAGGGUUUCAGGGAUAUGGAUUCUGCUCGUGCAAUAUUGCCUGUGAUCAUGGUGAUGGCCGCCUAGUAGCUAGCCCAGCAGAUUUAUCAGAACCAGCAGAUACAGCAGCUGAGCCAGCCAUAGCUAUCACUGCAACAGACUCGGCAGGAAGAGCAGUUGCCAUUGCAGCUAACACUGCAGCAGACACAGCGGCAAGAGCAGAUGCCAUGGCAGCAACCACUGCAACAGAUGCCAUGGCAGCAACAACAGUGGCCAUGGUAGCAGCAAACACCGCAUCUGCUGCACCAGGCAGUGACUGUAUUCGUUUGAAAACUAGUGGGCAGACUGCUCACAGCAGCAAUGCCAAAGAUGAGUCAGAGCGGCUCAGUCUUCAGCAGCAGUAAGCAGCAGUAAGCAGCAGUAAACAGGAUGCAGUGCACUUCGCAAAGUGAGCACCUUAGCAAGAAAGAUGUUGUUUUUCUUCCUUUUUUCCACACACCGAGCAGCAGUGGGAGUGUUGCAUCACUGUUUGCACAUGCCAAUGGACAGGUUCGAAGUAUGUGAGCCUAUGGUAUCCAUCAAAUCACUGAAAACGUUUUGACAUCUCUGCCUUUCUGUCAUACUUUGGCGAAAGCUUAAUUUUAGUUUCGACUCUCAGACCCAGAUUCCGUCUGUUGGAGUGCGCAUCCAAGACGGGCUAUAGCUGAUAGCCAGUUAUUUGUACUUCGAAGUAGAACGUCAGUACCGUCGUUCAAUGUUAUCGCAUGAGCUGAGUGUCAGGUAACUGAUGGUAGUGCACAUUAUAACGUAACGCGUAGUUCCUUGGUCCUUUUCUUACUUUAAUUUAUUUCCAUAUUAUUGGACUCAAGAGUGCUAUGUUGCAGCUAGCCCAUCAUGACAGCGCUGACUUUUUGGGUCCAGUUUUCAUAUAGAUUCAUACACAUUUGGGUGUUUUUUCCUUCACAGCAUUUUGACACUUCGUUCGACCUGUGGACUACGGCGAAUUAUGAUUGCGAAAUUGUGGAAUUAUGCUUCCAUGGAUGCUCGCACAAUGCUCGCAAACUCUUUAUAAUAUAAACGAUUUUGCGAGCGUUAUUUUUUAUGCUUUGUAACUGAUCCUUUAGAAAGCUUUGGGAUGCGGGGAUAUUUUAUUCAGUGUGUUGUAAUUGUACGUAU